rnacentral:rRNA from 1 species
UACAGAGGUCUCAAGCGUUGUUCGGAUUCAUUGGGCGUAAAGGGUGUGUAGGUGGCGCCGUAAGUCGGGUGUGAAAUUUCGGAGCUUAACUCCGAAACUGCAUUCGAUACUGCGGUGCUUGAGGACCGGAGAGGAGACUGGAAUUCAUGGUGUAGCAGUGAAAUGCGUAGAGAUCAUGAGGAAGACCAGUGGCGAAGGCGGGUCUCUGGACAGUUCCUGACACUGAGACACGAAGGCCAGGGGAGCAAACGGG